GACGAACGCUGGCGGCGUGCCUAAUACAUGCAAGUCGAACGCUUCUUUCCUCCCGAGUGCUUGCCCUCAAUUGGAAAGAGGAGUGGCGGACGGGUGAGUAACACGUGGGUAACCUACCCAUCAGAGGGGGAUAACACUUGGAAACAGGUGCUAAUACCGCAUAACAGUUUAUGCCGCAUGGCAUAAGAGUGAAAGGCGCUUUCGGGUGUCGUUGAUGGAUGGACCCGCGGUGCAUUAGCUAGUUGGUGAGGUAACGGCUCACCAAGGCCACGAUGCAUAGCCGACCUGAGAGGGUGAUCGGCCACACUGGGACUGAGACACGGCCCAGACUCCUACGGGAGGCAGCAGUAGGGAAUCUUCGGCAAUGGACGAAAGUCUGACCGAGCAACGCCGCGUGAGUGAAGAAGGUUUUCGGAUCGUAAAACUCUGUUGUUAGAGAAGAACAAGGACGUUAGUAACUGAACGUCCCCUGACGGUAUCUAACCAGAAAGCCACGGCUAACUACGUG
rnacentral:rRNA from 1 species